UACGUAGGGUGCAAGCGUUGUCCGGAAUUAUUGGGCGUAAAGAGCUCGUAGGCGGUUUGUCGCGUCUGCUGUGAAAUCCGGAGGCUCAACCUCCGGCCUGCAGUGGGUACGGGCAGACUAGAGUGCGGUAGGGGAGAUUGGAAUUCCUGGUGUAGCGGUGGAAUGCGCAGAUAUCAGGAGGAACACCGAUGGCGAAGGCAGAUCUCUGGGCCGUAACUGACGCUAAGGCGCGAAAGCGUGGGGAGCGAACAGG
rnacentral:rRNA from 1 species